rnacentral:rRNA from 1 species
UACGGAGGAUGCGAGCGUUAUCCGGAUUUAUUGGGUUUAAAGGGUGCGUAGGCGGACUGUCAAGUCAGCGGUAAAAUUGAGAGGCUCAACCUCUUCCCGCCGUUGAAACUGGUGGUCUUGAGUGGAUGAGAAGUACGCGGAAUGCGUGGUGUAGCGGUGAAAUGCAUAGAUAUCACGCAGAACUCCGAUUGCGAAGGCAGCGUACCGGCAUCCAACUGACGCUGAGGCACGAAAGCGUGGGGACCAAACAGG